GGGAAAAAUGCUCCCUUGGUAAGAAAAUGAAAUUAAUAAGGCAUAAUAUAUUUAGACUCUGGGCAAGUCUCAGUGAUAGAACUUACUCAUGAAGUGAAUUUUAUUCAUGAGCUUCAGAAAAGAAAUUGAAGGUUUAAUUUCUAUCUUUUCCUUAAAGGUGGAUGGAUAUAUCUUUGGAAGCUUUUCCUAUCUUUAAGAUAUACUGCUUUAGAAGAUUUGUCUUUGACAAAUCAUGAUUCUGAUGGCUCACAGAAGACUUAGUAAAAGUGUAAACUGAUGUAUGCAACAUUUUUUUCAAAACCAGCAAGAAGUAAGGGAAUAUACCAGUGACUGCCUCAUCAAGGAAAUAGGUAAACAACACCCAGCAGAACAGAAAAUGAGGGAUGGUGGACAUGAAGGAAGAAAUUCAGCCACACAGGGGAAGCUUGAUUACCAAAACAACCAUGUUUGAGGCAAUGCUUGGCUCUGGAGCUCCAAUGUGGCCCUAACAACACAGAAGUAGAACCAUGAAGAUACACAAGAUUAGGGCUUUUCUUGGGCUUCAGAUCAUCAUCCAGAAAGUCUUUUUUUGGAGAUCAAAGGUAUUUAUCACCAAGUAAACUUUUAAGGACCUGGCUCCAAACAUCAUGAGGGGGAUGGACACAAGACUACACCAUCACAGAAAUGGCAACCAAGUGAUGUCACAGAUCCAAGUGGUUACAUGUGGAAUACGUAGCAGAGAAGACCCCUCAGGGACUAAUAUGGGAAUCCAAUGGUCAGUACUUUAACAUUAAAGCCUGGGACAAAGAUAAGAACUAAGCCUUGGAGGGAUACUGAUAGAAGGGUGUGGGAUGUAGACAGAUACAGUUUAAAUAUAGUUAGAUGCUCAACCUGCAUCUGAGUGUGUUUACAGUGCUCACUUCACAUUAGGCAAAUGAACAAAGGAGAAGGAAAUCCUCUACCCAACCUGGGAGGAAAUGACCACAUUUGGUCUGCAUCCUUCAGUAACCUUAGCUUAGAAAAUGGAAUCACAGCAUGUCCCUCUAUAAGCUGCAGGAGUUUUUCAUUGAAUCUGGGGACCAAUCACAACUGCAGGUAAAAUGUUUCUUGGCCAUGUUUGCUUUCCUUGGUGCAUAAUGGCUCUCAGAAAGCUCAUGGAAAGGAGGGAGCAGUUAGAUCACACUAGGAUUCAGACAUUCCUUGCUCUCUUCAUCAAAAUGUCAUCACUAGACUUGUCCUGAUUACCAUUUCAACUGUAAAACUUAUUGUGGAGGAGGGAUGAGGGGGGUAGCAUCCUUUGCAGCAUUUCCUGGCAUGAGAGAAAAGGGAAUGAGAGGACUCACUAAUUAUGCUUUCAAAGUUAAACCCUAGAACACUGAAAUUGAAAACUGACCCUAAAGGGUGACUCUCUCUCUUCCAUGCAGGUGGACUCCUACUGAGAGGUAGGGCAGAGUGACAAACAUGGCAGAUUGGAGGUGCAUGGGGCAGAGACCUUGCCAAUCCUGUUCAAUUCUAUCGCAAGAACCAAAUUCAGAUCCUGACACAUGGGAGGCCCAUAAUG
rnacentral:lncRNA from 1 species